rnacentral:lncRNA from 1 species
GGAUUUAGGUCAUGAACUUGGUUCAUGAAUCCAAGUUGGAAGUCGGGUAUGGGUUCUAUUUAUGAUUGGGUUUGGAUUUAAGGUUAUUUGUGGAUUGGAUUGGAUUUGAGUUUGAUUUUAUUUGUGGACUUGAUUUGGUUUGAGUUUGGAUUUGAUUUGGAUUUUGGGUUUUUAUUUGUGGACUUAGGUUUGAUUUGGGUUUUAUGGGUUUAGGUUUUGGUUUUGGGUUUCGAUUUAUUUGUGGACUUGAUUCGGGUUUGGGCUUGGAUUUUAUUUGGGUUUUGGGUUUGGAUUUAUUGUGGACUUGAUUCGGGUUUGGGGCUUGGAUUUUAUUUGUGGACUUGGUUUGGAUUUGGGUCCGGAUUUAGGUUUUGGGUUUAUGUUUUAUUUGUGGACUUGGUUUGAUUUGGGCUUGGAUUCAGGUUUGGAUUUAUUUGUGGACUUGAUUCGGGUUUGGGCUUGGAUUUUAUUUGUGUACUUGGUUUGGAUUUGGGUCUGGAUUUGGGUUUUGGGUUUGGAUUUUAGUUGUGGACUUGGGUUUUCUUUUCAAUUCUAUUUCGGGUCCAAGGAAAUCCUCUUUUGAUUUUGUAAUUCGAUUUGGGGUCCGAAGAAAUCUCCUUUUGAUUUUGCAAUUCGAUUUGGGGUCCGAAAAAAUCCCUUUUGAUUUUACAAUUCGAUUUGGGGUCCGAAGAAAUCCCUUAUUGAUUCUAAUUUGAUUUGGGGUUCGAAGAAAUCCCCGUUUUGAUCUUGAUUUGGGUUCGAAGAAAUCCCCUUAUUGAUUCUAAUUUGAUUUGGAUUCCGAAGAAAUUUUCGUUUUGAUCUUGAUUUGGGGUCCGAAGAAAUUUUUGUUUUGAUCUUGAUUUGGGGUCCGAAGAAAUUCCCGUUUGAUUCAUGAUUUGGGGUCCGAAGAAAUUCCCGUUUGAUUCUAAUUUGAUUUGGGGUGUGAAGAAAUCCCCGUUUGAUUUAUAAUUUGGGGUCCGAAGAAAUCCCCGUUUUGGUUCUGAUUUAGGGUCCGAAGAAAUUCCCGUUUUGAUUCUAUAGUUCGAUUUGGUUCGGGGUCCGAAAAAUGGGGAAUCUUUGAUUCCCUUCCCCUCUUCUUUCGAAAAUACCGAACCGACGAUGCUGGAGAUGACGGCAAUGAAGAUGAUGUCGGUGGCGCGGAUCUGUUUGGCCGGUGAAUUUGAUUCGAUAUUUUCAAAAGAGAUUGAAGGGUCCGAAGAAACGGGAAAUCUUUGAUUCCCCUCCCCUCUUCUUUUGAAAAUACCGAACCGGCGAUGCUGGAGAUGACGACGGUGAAGAUGAUGUCGGUGGCGCGGAUUUGUUCGGCCGGUAAAUUUGAUUCGAUAUUUUCAAAAGAUGUUGAAGGGUCCGAAGAAACGGAAAAUCAAAGAUUCUCCUCCCUUCUUCUUUCGAAAAUACCGAACCGGCGAUGCUGGGGGUGGU